UGAGGUUACUAUAUUAGUAGGGAAAAUUUACUCUCAUCUAUCCUUCUCUUGCACUAGAUAUAAUUGGUGUUGAAAUAAAAGGAAGAUUAUGUGGCUAGCUGUAUAAUUUCUAGCAAGUCUUCCCACAACCUGAUGCUUAAGCCGGAUUCCUUGCUCUGGGUCCGAACCGAUAUUCCUCAUAAUUCAACUGUCCUAAAUUGUCAGUGUAGGAGUCUUCUAUUGCUUUUUGACCUUGCUAAAGCGAUAUUUGUGAUAGAUUUACUGGCUUUAGGCUUCUUGGCAAUUGUCCUGGGAGCAGGCUGCUACAGUGGGACUCCUAAUCACUCGCACAAGCAACCUCUAUAAAGCCUAUAAUAGAGGCUUAAAGACACUGCAGGAUAUCUGUGUCGUGCAUGUUAGUCUAAAUAGAGAAGAACUUACUUGUGUUGGGGAUAUGGAUGUAGAUACAGAUAAUUUCUAUCUUGGGCAGGACCGGAGGAGGUUAUAGUUGAUCUGAAUCCAAAAUUAUUGAUAUUUUAGGUGUUUCUAGGACCUAUGUCUUGCUAGUUUGUAAUAUCAAGCUUCUAAGCAAAAGCCACGUACUAGUUCAUAGUUUUCAGGGUGAAUGACAAGCUACCUGCAGAUUCAUAAUAACUAAAAUCCAUAAAUGUAUAGCUUACGAUGUUCUGGUNCUGGGAUGAUGUGAAUUUGUUUAUUUUAGUUGGUGUGAGAGUGUGGCCCUGUGGGAUGGAGGGUAGGGAGGUUGAUUAAAGAUUCUCUCAGAAUCGAACCGUUCCUGCAAUUUUUUCCAGUCUACAUUUUUCUUGUGCGAUAGCAAUUUUGUUAUGUCUUAACUUUAGUGAGAAAACUUAAUUUGGAUCGACUUAGUGUUAGGAUAAGAAGCUGCUAAUUGCCAGCCUGUGGAGUUGGCUACAUAAAGGGUUAUUUGUUUUGUACUUUUGAGCAUAUUAUGAUCAUCUCGAAAUAGUGGUAAAAAUGCUAUUACAUCAGAAUCUGUUAGUGAGAUGCAAUCAGUAAUAAUUUUGUCCAGUUUCUGCAACACCUACAGGCUACAAUAGAGGUUCUUAUGAGGUUACUAUAUUAGUAGGGAAAAUUUACUCUCAUCUAUCCUUCUCUUGCACUAGAUAUAAUUGGUGUUGAAAUAAAAGGAAGAUUAUGUGGCUAGCUGUAUAAUUUCUAGCAAGUCUUCCCACAACCUGAUGCUUAAGCCGGAUUCCUUGCUCUGGGUCCGAACCGAUAUUCCUCAUAAUUCAACUGUCCUAAAUUGUCAGUGUAGGAGUCUUCUAUUGCUUUUUGACCUUGCUAAAGCGAUAUUUGUGAUAGAUUUACUGGCUUUAGGCUUCUUGGCAAUUGUCCUGGGAGCAGGCUGCUACAGUGGGACUCCUAAUCACUCGCACAAGCAACCUCUAUAAAGCCUAUAAUAGAGGCUUAAAGACACUGCAGGAUAUCUGUGUCGUGCAUGUUAGUCUAAAUAGAGAAGAACUUACUUGUGUUGGGGAUAUGGAUGUAGAUACAGAUAAUUUCUAUCUUGGGCAGGACCGGAGGAGGUUAUAGUUGAUCUGAAUCCAAAAUUAUUGAUAUUUUAGGUGUUUCUAGGACCUAUGUCUUGC
rnacentral:lncRNA from 1 species